UGGUUUUGCUUGGUUGUGUUUAUAUGUGACACCCGUGAGAAUAUAUAGGGUCUUGACUGCUUUUAGUUACAGCAUAUAACUGGUCCUUUAUCUGAUUGGAUUUCUAUGAUCAGUGUCCUGGCAUUUCCUUAGUAUAUUCUUUUAUAUAGUUAACCUGAACGCUUUCAUUAUCAAACUUGUCUUAAACACGUGAUAUUAUAAUUUGCAAUGAAGAGUGCUUAUAUUUUCCCUUCCGUUUGCGUCAUUACGUCAUAUAUUAUCCAGAACAUGCAAGGAAUACAUGAUUGCACAUGCUAAAGUUUUUAAUAUUAUGAUUUAAGUUAAACCAUCAUUGUGAUGUUUAUAUUUGAACGUACAGUAGUUGGUUCUAUCUUAGUUGUAUGCAUCUGAUAAAGUUGCACUGCGUCUGAUCCAUGUUUGGUUAUUCUGGAGGAUUGUUUGCUCUGGAGGUGUUCAGAUGCUGAUUUGAAGUGAGAAAUUGCUUCUUUUUGUGCUUUUAGGGUUCACUCUUGCGCAUCUGCAAUUCCAGUAAGUAACCCCUAUUUUCAUUUAUUGUCCCGCAUUUAUCUAUUUUAGAUAACAAAAUGAGUUAAUGACAUUAACUGCUUAUGGUUCCAAAUAUUCAUGGGUGCUCCUCUAGUUCCUUCCAAUGUAUUUCCUAGUUAAUAUUUGGAGGUUUUUUCAGCCUUUUGAUUUGCAUGCCAUUUGCUUGGGUUUUCUACAAUAAUCCUUUGGCCUUGGUGCAUUUCUGGCUAUGCUUAAAAAAAGAAACUACUAAUAUGAAUAUAAGUUUUAAAACGAAUUCUUUUUAUUGGUGGAAGUUGAAAAUUUGGAAGUUAGGUGUGUGAAAGUAACCUCUACAUUAUUGUCAAAUUGAGUAAACCUCUACUUAUUAAGAAUUUAAUUUUAUUUAUUUAUUAUUUUUUUUCAAACAUGUUUGGAAAAAAUGUUGAAGUAAAUUUUAUUGACUUUUAAGCUUAACCUAACAUGCUGUCAGUAAUGCCAUCCAAUGUUUGAAAAAAAAUCAGCUGCGCCAAGUGUAAGAACACUACAGCUGUGCCACUCUUUUCACAUGUUUGAAAUUUGGAUAUUGACUAUUAAGUAUGAGAACACUACUUAUCCGAUCAAGGUACUAUUGCACACUAUCCUUUCCUCAUUGAUGCUGUACAGAUGAUAUCUGCUGUGGUCCAAUUCUGCUCUGGUGUUGUGAAUACCUCUGUUGAAAUCUCCUUAGGCCAUCCUAGAGGGCUUGUAAUUCAUCUCCUUAGGCCAUCCUAGAGGGCUUGUAAUUCAUCUAACUAAUUAGUUUCAUAACCAUAGUAAUAUCAUUAAGCAAAUGUGAUGUUGUGAUCUCGCUAGAUUCCUGCCUCCAAUCACUUCCUGGGAAUCCAUCUGAAUUUAAUUUCAUGAAGGCAAAUAAAGGUUUUAUCCAGUCAACAAUAAUUGGCAAUCUCUCCUUCGUAUUUUCUACUAAUGAACUCCAAAUCCCCUAGCCGCCUCCAGAUUCCAGCUUUUAAAAUCAAAGAAUUUAGCUCUGAGGUGUACUAUUUUUUUCAGUAGCAAUGGCUUUCCUUUACUGCCAUGGUAUUUAGUGUCAUUCCUUUCCACCUAUACAAACAAAUGUAUGAGCAAAAGAAUGAUGGUACGAAUGCAUGCAGGAGUAACAGUUACCUGAGAAAUGCCAGGCCUGUAAGCAUACUCUCAUUCAACCUGGCUGGGAGAUUGAAUUUGAAUAAAUCGGUAAUAUGAGCCUCAACAUGAGAUGGCAGAAUGCUAUGCAAAAAUUAACGGAAUAAUUUUACCAGCUUUAUAGAAAUGGCACUUCAAGGCCAUCCGGACAUUUCUCCUAUGUUGCAAUUUCUCGUCUGUGGAGAUUCGUCCAUGUCAUGGUUCCUGGCAAAAGAGAAAAAUAUUUUUAACAGAUACAUUUGUGCAAACAAACCUACUGGAAUCUUUAUGAAAAUGUUUAUCCGAUCAUAUUCCAACCAUCCUUCAUUACAGAACUUCUAUCAUAGGAAUUAUCUUCCGGAAUAGAAGACUCUGUGUUGUGGUAAUUGGGAUUUGGGUAAUCUUCUUGACAAAAUUUGGCUUGAAGACUUGUUCCAGCUUGUUAGCAUCCCAUACCACUCAUUGAAGAAAUAUCAUACCUUUGCAGAUGUUCCCCUCUCCUUUUCCAGAAGUUUAUUUAAUUCUCUUCUAAUUUCCAAGCAAUAUAUAUCCCGCAGGUCAUAUGUCUUAGUAAGACAUUUUCAGAUUUUAGACCUGUUAUUUCUAACCUCUGCUGGAAAUCACCUACUUUGUGUAUCUAUCAUUUCAGAUCCAGGCCCAAAGAGACUCAUGUGCUGUAAACCUCCAUCGUAUUUCCAUACAGAACAAUCUUAGAUAGAUCCUUAAUCUCUUACUCCGAGCCCUCUCUCUGCCCAUGAAUAACACAGCUUCUGCCAAGAUACCCAGUGCAGUUGACUAUGGCUGUUCACGUCUCCCCAUAUGAAGCUAUAUAAAAUAUUUUUAAUGUACAGUAAACAAUUUGGAGGCUUCAGAACUUGCAAUAUGAAGAUUGGAAUAGAAGAAACAACUAUUUGAGCAAGAUGAAUCUAACUCCUGUUGGAAGGAAUUUAUACUCCUACCUGAAAAUUUUCCUCUAAUGUUAUUCAGAAAAUUGUUAAGAGAAAAUGUUUUUUUAACCUUAUAUAGAGGGCACCUUGAUAAUGAUUGGAGGAGAUUUUUGAUGAUGAAAUCCAGUAGCAUCCGAUUGGAGGCUGUAAGCUUGUUCAAUCGAUUCAAUAUUGAUGAAUCUAGAAAAGAGGGUUGAGGGUUGGAACAAACAUAAAACAAGAGUUCUUGGGAAUGCCUUGGGACUUCUUGAUUGGUUCAGCUAAACUAUAGUGCGAAGUUGUGUCUAUUUGGUUAAUAAGAUCCGAAAGGUCUAUCAUUUCAGAUUGUGCAGAUUAUGAUAAGCUUAUAGAAACUAUUGUGUGCCAAAUAAUACUUGUGUUUGUUCAGAAAAUGGAAUGUCUAAUGUUUUUUCCCCCAAAAUGACUGGAUUGAAGGGUCAGUCAUCCUAAAAUCAGGAUUCACAUUUGAUUUCUCAAUAGAAAAAGGAGAGGAUUUUUAGCAUUUUGGAUUUUGAGAUACUAUAUAAUCAACCAAAGGGACGGAUCUCCAAUCAAAAUGAGGUUUCUUUUAGAAACAGAUUAAGAAAAACAGGACUCAAAUGCAAGUACAAUAAAAAUUUCAUUAUCCAAUAAACUUAUCAUAUACAUUUUGUAUCCAAUUUUGGCCAAUGAUAUACUGUAGUAUGAAAAAAGGAGAAAAAAUCCAACCCGUCCCAAGUGCCCCAGCAUCCAAAUUUUUGGUCACUGGACAAUGGCCGGAUAUGUUUUGGCCAUUAGUUAUGUAUGGCAUGCGCGGGCUGUGGGGGGUGCAUGGUUGGACAUGAAAAAGCCAGGCAAUGCUGGACACAUAUUGAAGGAGCUGGGCUGGCACUUUACUCUCUUUCAUUGGCUAUCUGAUUGAUUCUCUCCUGGGAUAUGCUUUGGCUGCUGUGAUAGAACCAAUUUUAUCCUUGGCGUGAACUUUUUGUACAUCGUAUGCCUACUUUUUUUGAAACAUUUCCAAUUGUUUUGGUAGACGGCGGCGGAAUUGUUAGAGCUGAUGUUCCUUUUAGAAGGGCAUAAUUGAAGUAUAGUGUUGAACAAGUAGGUGUAACUGUUGAGUUCUGAACAUAAACAAUUCUAGUACUCCCCAAGUAUGGAGUAUAGUUUUCAUGCCACUAUUUAAUUGACAUGCAUAUCACGUAUCCAUGUUUGGGUCCCAAUUGAUUGGUGUGUACCCUCCUAUUUAAUACAUGUCGCAAGGAAUAUGAGUGCUCCAUACUAGAUUACUAGAAAUUUUCUUGACGGAAAAAUUUCACACGACAUUUUUAUACUCCAUGAAGUUCAUCAUUAUGUUCAAAUCUGAGCUUUGUUCUACGUGAAGAUAAUUAUCUCGUCUGCAAAUGCAAGAAGAGGUUUACUGAUAACAUUAUGGAUGGUAAAUAUUGUUUGUUUUCAAUUUUUUCAUAUUGUUUGAGCGUUUACUCGUUAUUUAAUUCAAUUUGCAUUUCCCCUAUUGUGAUUUUCUUUUUCUGUAGGAAGGUUAAUUGAAACAAGAAACUUACAUGUUUUGUUCCUUGAUCUUGUUUUUAGACUUGCAAUUAAUAUUAUUUGCUGGUUAUAUGCAUUUGUACAAAUCUCUGUAGCACAGACGCUUCAAUUAGGGUAGUGUGUCUGUAUCGAAUACGUGUCGAUAUCGAUACUUCUCGUCGACACUUCUCGGACACUCUUAUUAAAUAUUUUUCUUUUUUAUUAAAAAUAUUAUAUAUUUUAAUUCAAAAUUAUUAGUAAAUAACAAAUAUAUACUAUAUUUAAAGGAUUUAAACAAUAAAAGUUAAUAACAAGUUUAAGUGUAAAAGUAAAUUUAUAUUAUAUAAAUGAAGAAUUUUAAAGAAUUCAAUCAAUGUGUCGGUGACGUGUCCUAUUGGUACUUUUUUGAACAAUCGUGUGUCAACAUGUUCGACUCGUAUUGUUCAGGCAUAAGUGUCCAUGUCGGUGCAUCAUAAGUACAGAAUGUCACCUACUGCUAUAGUAUUACGUUAAACCUACGUGUCAUGUAUAGAAUAAAGACAUUCUAGUAUUAGUGAUAAAUUAAGAGUUUGUAGUCUUGGCAUUUAUAUUAGCAUGUGAUAAUCCCAUUCAUUGCCCAUUAAAAGCGAUUGUUUUUCUCUCCUGAAAUCUUCCUUUGUUGGAGUGUAAUUGCUCUGGAAGCAGGAAAAUAAUUGUUCUGUCUUGUGAAUAUAAUCUGUAUCUGGGAAGGCUAUGAAAGCUGAUGAAAAGUUGUGAUAAAUAUAAAUUUUCUGGGGGAUUUCUUGUAUAUCUGAGAGGAGAGCAUAAGUAGCCCCACCCCCAAACAGUUGUUCGGGCUACAUGGUGGCUGUUGAUGUGGGAAUGUCAUGGAGGGGAUAUUUAGCUGCUGUUUCCCGUGUUGUUGGCUUGAUUUAUACUGGAUUAUGUAUUAUUAUUAGUCAUUCAUCACUAACGUAGUAGUAGAGAUUCUCUCAUAUAUCAACGAGACCCCUUGAAGGAGUGUGGUAGAACGUUUUGUUGUAUGUAGAACAUUUUUGUUUAAAUUGGAUUCAAGUGUUUACAUAAAUGAUCUCCAGAGGAAAUUGAGUA